CUUGACUCUUUCGCUGCCCCAGAAAGCUGUUCUUGUCCUCUCUUUAAUGAUGUAGGAGCUAGCAGCUCUGAUAUCUGUCAUUGAAAGGGAAAAAGAUUUAGAGAAGAAGAUAUUGCUUGAGGUCACAUACUCUAGAGCCCUCGAUGUCCUCCAAGAACUGAUGAGGUAGCUGAUAAAGGAAGUUCACAGCAAAGAGAUGCUGCCUCAUUUUAAGCUGGUGGAGCUGGAAGCUGACACUGCAACACCUCCCAGAGCAACUGAGAGAAGCUUAAGG